rnacentral:rRNA from 1 species
CAGCCGCCGCGGUAAAACGUAGGUGGCAAGCGUUGUCCGGAAUUAUUGGGCGUAAAGGGCUCGCAGGCGGUUUCUUAAGUCUGAUGUGAAAGCCCCCGGCUCAACCGGGGAGGGUCAUUGGAAACUGGGAAACUUGAGUGCAGAAGAGGAGAGUGGAAUUCCACGUGUAGCGGUGAAAUGCGUAGAGAUGUGGAGGAACACCAGUGGCGAAGGCGACUCUCUGGUCUGUAACUGACGCUGAGGAGCGAAAGCGUGGGGGGCGAACAGGAUUAGAUACCCGGGUAGUCCCUGUCUCUUAUAC